GACGAACGCCGGCGGCGUGCUUAACACAUGCAAGUCGAACGGUGAUCUUGGGAGCUUGCUCCUGGGUGAUCAGUGGCGAACGGGUGAGUAACACGUGAGUAACCUGCCCCUGACUCUGGAAUAACUUCGGGAAACCGAAGCUAAUACCGGAUAUGACACAGAGCCGCAUGGUUUCUGUGUGGAAAGUCUUUUCGGUUGGGGAUGGACUCGCGGCCUAUCAGCUUGUUGGUGAGGUAAUGGCUCACCAAGGCGACGACGGGGAGCCGGCCUGAGAGGGCGACCGGCCACACUGGGACUGAGACACGGCCCAGACUCCUACGGGAGGCAGCAGUGGGGAAUAUUGCACAAUGGGCGAAAGCCUGAUGCAGCGACGCCGCGUGAGGGAUGAAGGCCUUCGGGUUGUAAACCUCUUUCAGUAGGGAAGAAGCGCAAGUGACGGUACCUACAGAAGAAGCACCGGCUAACUACGUGCCAGCCGCCGCAGUAAGAC
rnacentral:rRNA from 1 species